AUUGAACGCUGGCGGCAUGCUUUACACAUGCAAGUCGAACGGUAACAGGCCUUCGGGUGCUGACGAGUGGCGCACGGGUGAGUAAUGCAUCGGAACGUACCCAGAGGUGGGGGAUAACGCAGCGAAAGCUGUGCUAAUGCCGCAUGUGAUCUGAGGAUGAAAGCGGGGGACCGAGCAGCAAUGUUUGGCCUCGCGCCUUUGGAGCGGCCGAUGUCGGAUUAGCUAGUUGGUGGGGUAAAGGCCUACCAAGGCGACGAUCCGUAGCUGGUCUGAGAGGACGACCAGCCACACUGGGACUGAGACACGGCCCAGACUCCUACGGGAGGCAGCAGUGGGGAAUUUUGGACAAUGGGCGCAAGCCUGAUCCAGCAAUGCCGCGUGCGGGAAGAAGGCCUUCGGGUUGUAAACCGCUUUUGGCAGGAACGAAACGGUGUCCGCUAAUACCGGGCGCUAAUGACGGUACCUGCAGAAUAAGCACCGGCUAACUACGUG
rnacentral:rRNA from 1 species